rnacentral:tRNA from 1 species
GCAUCGUUGGUCCGGCCGGUCGAAGACCCCGGCCUGCCGGGUCGGGAACGGCGGUUCGAAUCCGCUGCGGUGCU